GAUUGAACGCUGGCGGCAGGCCUAACACAUGCAAGUCGAGCGGUAGAGAGAAGCUUGCUUCUCUUGAGAGCGGCGGACGGGUGAGUAAUGCCUAGGAAUCUGCCUGGUAGUGGGGGAUAACGUUCGGAAACGGACGCUAAUACCGCAUACGUCCUACGGGAGAAAGCAGGGGACCUUCGGGCCUUGCGCUAUCAGAUGAGCCUAGGUCGGAUUAGCUAGUUGGUGAGGUAAUGGCUCACCAAGGCGACGAUCCGUAACUGGUCUGAGAGGAUGAUCAGUCACACUGGAACUGAGACACGGUCCAGACUCCUACGGGAGGCAGCAGUGGGGAAUAUUGGACAAUGGGCGAAAGCCUGAUCCAGCCAUGCCGCGUGUGUGAAGAAGGUCUUCGGAUUGUAAAGCACUUUAAGUUGGGAGGAAUGGUUGUAGAUUAAUACCCUGCAAUUUUGACGUUACCGACAGAAUAAGCACCGGCUAACUCUGUGCCAGCAGCCGCGGUAAUACAGAGGGUGCAAGCGUUAAUCGGAAUUACUGGGCGUAAAGCGCGCGUAGGUGGUUUGUUAAGUUGGAUGUGAAAUCCCCGGGCUCAACCUGGGAAGCGCAUUCAAAACUGACUGACUAGAGUAUGGUAGAGGGUGGUGGAAUUUCCUGUGUAGCUGUGAAAUGCGUAGA
rnacentral:rRNA from 1 species